rnacentral:rRNA from 1 species
AAUAGAUACCCGGGUAGUCCACGCCGUAAACGAUGGAUACUAGCUGUUUGAGCGCAAGUUUGAGUGGCUAAGCGAAAGUGAUAAGUAUCCCACCUGGGGAGUACGGGCGCAAGCCUGAAACUCAAAGGAAUUGACGGGGGCCCGCACAAGCGGUGGAGCAUGUGGUUUAAUUCGAUGAUACGCGAGGAACCUUACCAGGGCUUAAAUGUAGAUUGACGUAUUUGGAAACAGAUAUUUCUUCGGACAAUUUACAAGGUGCUGCAUGGUUGUCGUCAGCUCGUGCCGUGAGGUGUCAGGUUAAGUCCUAUAACGAGCGCAACCCCUGUUGUUAGUUGCCAGCGAGUAAUGUCGGGAACUCUAGCAAGACUGCCAGUGUAAACUGUGAGGAAGGUGGGGAUGACGUCAAAUCAUCACGGCCCUUACGUCCUGGGCCACACACGUGCUACAAUGGCCGGUACGAGAGAGCAGCCACUUAGCGAUAAGGAGCGAAUACUAUAAAGACCGGUCGACAGUUCGGUAGUCGGAGUCUGCAA